rnacentral:rRNA from 1 species
AUACGUAGGGGGCGAGCGUUGUCCGGAAUUAUUGGGCGUAAAGGGUGCGUAGGCGGCCCUUCAAGUUGGAUGUGAAAUCCCCGUGCUUAACAUGGGAAUUGCAUUCAAAACUGGGGGGCUUGAGUGUGGAAGAGGUAAGUGGAAUUCCCAGUGUAGCGGUGAAAUGCGUAGAGAUUGGGAGGAACACCAGUGGCGAAGGCGACUUACUGGGCCACAACUGACGCUGAUGCACGAAAGCGUGGGGAGCAAACAGGAUUAGAUACCCUGGUAGUCCACGCUGUAAACGAUGGAUACUAGGUGUAGGAGGUUACACCCCCCCUGUGCCGCAGCUAACGCAAUAAGUAUCCCGCCUGGGGAGUACGGUCGCAAGAUUGAA